GACGAACGCUGGCGGCGUGCUUAACACAUGCAAGUCGAGCGGUAAGGCCCUUUCGGGGGUACACGAGCGGCGAACGGGUGAGUAACACGUGGGUGACCUGCCCUCAGCUCUGGGAUAAGCCUGGGAAACCGGGGUCUAAUACCGGAUAUGACUCCAUGACGCAUGUUGUGGGGUGGAAAGCCUUGUGCGGCUGAGGAUGGGCCCGCGGCCUAUCAGCUUGUUGGUGGGGUGAUGGCCUACCAAGGCGACGACGGGUAGCCGGCCUGAGAGGGCGACCGGCCACACUGGGGACUGAGACACGGCCCAGACUCCUACGGGAGGCAGCAGUGGGGAAUCUUGCGCAAUGGGCGAAAGCCUGACGCAGCGACGCCGCGUGAGGAUGACGGCCU
rnacentral:rRNA from 1 species